ensembl:rRNA 5S_rRNA 5S ribosomal RNA
CUAUGCCACCAGAGUUUCCCCUGAACGUGCCUGAUCUCCUGUUAUCUUAGAAGCUAAGCAGGGUCGGGCCUGGUUGGUACUUGGAGGGGAGACUGCCUGUAAAUACUGAGUGUUAUAUAUA